rnacentral:rRNA from 1 species
GCACAGCACUCCUACGGAGGCAGCAGUGGGGAAUAUUGCACAAUGGGCGCAAGCCUGAUGCAGCCAUGCCGCGUGUAUGAAGAAGGCCUUCGGGUUGUAAAGUACUUUCAGCAGUGAGGAAGGUGGGUAUGUUAAUAGCAUACUCAUUUGACGUUAGCUGCAGAAGAAGCACCGGCUAACUCCGUGCCAGCAGCCGCGGUAAUACGGAGGGUGCGAGCGUUAAUCGGAAUUACUGGGCGUAAAGCGCAUGCAGGUGGUUUGUUAAGUCAGAUGUGAAAGCCCGGGGCUCAACCUCGGAAUUGCAUUUGAAACUGGCAAACUAGAGUACUGUAGAGGGGGUAGAAUUUCAGGUGUAGCGGUGAAAUGCGUAGAGAUCUGAAGGAAUACCGGUGGCGAAGGCGGCCCCCUGGACAGAUACUGACACUCAGAUGCGAAAGCGUGGGGAGCAAACAGGAUUAGAUACCCUGGUAG